rnacentral:rRNA from 1 species
UACGUAGGUGGCAAGCGUUGUCCGGAUUUACUGGGCGUAAAGAGCGCGCAGGCGGUCGUUCAAGUCGCGUGUGAAAGCCCCCGGCUCAACUGGGGAGGGUCACGCGAUACUGAUCGACUGGAAGGCAGGAGAGGGUAGUGGAAUUCCCGGUGUAGUGGUGAAAUGCGUAGAUAUCGGGAGGAACACCAGUGGCGAAGGCGACUACCUGGCCUGUUCUUGACGCUGAGGCGCGAAAGCUAGGGGAGCAAACGGGG